CAAAGGUGUAGGAGUGUGUGUGCACUUCAAGAAUUUCGCACCAAAAUAAAAUAAAGAAAAUUAAUUCUAUUUUCCACAAACUUUUCUUAAAAAUAUCAUUUAUUUAUUUAUUUAUUUGACAGGUAGAGUUACAGACAGUGAGAGGGAGAGACAGAGAGAAAGGUCUUCCUUCCAUUGGUUCACUCUCCAAAUGGCCACAACAGUUGGAGCUGUGCCGAUCCGAAGUCAGGAGGCAGGAGCUUCCUCCCAGUCUCCCACGCCGGUGCAGGGGCCCAAGCACUUCGGCCAUCUUCUACUGCUUUCCCAGGCCACAGCAGAGAGCUGGAUCGGAAGAGGAGCAGCCGGAACUGGAACUGGUGCCCAUAUGGGAUGCUGGUGCCACAGGCAGAGGAUUAACCUACUGUGCCACAGUGCCAGCCCCUCUACAAACUUUUUAAAAUACUCUUGUGUGUGAGAUGUUUGUGUACAAACAUACACAGAAAAAUCAGUUGGUUUCUCAUUUAAAUUUUUUAACAUUUACUUGAGAGAGGGACAGACAGAGCUCCCACCACCUGGCUUGCUCCCCAAAUGCCUGCAAUAGAACAGCUAAGGCUGGGCAAGGCUGAAACAAAGAACCAGAAACUCAAUCCAGGUCUCCCAUGUGGGUGACAGAAACCCAACUACUUGAGCUAUUAGUGCUGCCUGCCAGUGUCUGCAUGAACAGGAAGCUGGAGUCAGGAGCUAGAGCCAGAAUAAAGAGUAACAGCGUCCUCCAUUGGUGGAUCACAUACUGGCUGCCAGUACAGACUGCCUUAUAAAUACUACCUCAUUUAACACCCACAACCGCCUAUCAGUUCUAGAUGCUGGGAAAUACACCAUCAAGAUGCUGGAAGAUUCUCUGCAUGGUGAGGACCCACUUUUUGGUUCCAAGAUGGCACCGUCUUCCUGUGUGCUCCCAUGGUGGGAGAGACCUCUUUUGUCCUGGCAGCUGGCCUCUUCUGUUUCAAAACCAGCAACAAGGCAUCAGAUCUGCUGCACAUCGUCAUCUCCUCCGGAAAUGUUCUCUACUUUUGAAGAUUCAUGUGAUUACACUGGGCCCACCCAGAUAAUAUCGGCAGAGGAGAAUGCCGAGUGACUGUAAAUGGGUAAGGACUUUCUUUUUGGGGUGGCAGAGCAUGGUGGAAUUUGAUAGUGAUGACGGCUGUACAGCUGUGGGUGUACUAAAAACUACUAAAAUAUAGAUGAAUAGACUAAAAUCUUAUAGUAUGUGGGUUUUAUCUCAACUUUAAGUGUGAAAAGUACUUUUAAAACUAUAAGCUGAUCCACUUGAGUUCAAACCUGAUAUCACCAUCUCAUUUGAGUCCAACCAUUUUUAUUGGCACCACCAGAUGCUGAGAUAAAAAGAUGAAAAGACUUUGCCUCUUCUUUCCAAGAGCCUAGCAGCUAAAAGGGGAGGCAAUCACAGGAGCACUUCAUUUUAAUUGGACUUAGUGAGGACUAGGAUAGAAGUGUGUUUCCAGAUCACAGGCUGUACUAGGAAAUCCAGACUUCAUUCUAGAGGCAGUGGGAAACCACUGGAGGUUUUUAAACUGGAGAUGGACAAUCUGCGUUUCAGGUGUGUCUUCCUGUUGAAGACUGCUGUGAAGGUAGCGUGGCUGGUAUCAGAGAUCAGGUGGGAGAUGAUUGUGGUAGUGUGAACGAAAAAUGAACGAAAAGCAGUGAGACAAAGAGUAGACGAGAGGAGAGUUCUGAUUCAACAAAUAUUUAAUAGCUAAAACGCUGUAGGAUUUGGUGUGAUGGAGAAUGAGAGAGAGAGAAGUCUGGGAUGACUCAUAGAUUUCGGGCUUGGGUCCCUGGGUCGAUGAUGGUGUCCUUAACUGAGAAGAGGAGUUUAAGAAGGAGUUUGCAGGUUGAAAUAGUGAGUUCCACUUGGGGCAGUACCUAAGUUUUGGGUAAAUGAUGGAGAGGAUGUGUCCAGCCAGUCAAGUCACUUUGAUCAAACUACUUAAUCCCUUUUCCCAGUUUCCAAAAGGGCAACAUUAUAAUGAAGACUAAGAACACUAGAUAUAUUUCUAUUUGAACAUGCAUUUGUAUGUACAUAAAUUUUGCCCAGAUUUCAACUACUGGGGGUAUUCACCUAAUCUGUUUUGGGGGAAAUGGCAGACUGUCUUAAUGAUUUGUUAAAUAUAUGCCUAGUUAUCUAUGGGAAAAACUGCACAGCAAUAUCAGAGGUAUAUUUAUAUUUACAGGUGCAACCUGACUUCAUUCAAUGAAAUUAUAGAUGUAUCAGAAAGAUAAAAUAAAGGGUAAUAAUUUGAUGCCCCUAAAGACUCAGUAUAAGAUCUUUUUAAACAUUUCUUCUAGUGAAUAUAAACCAAUUUGUGUUCAAGAAAUUAGAUUUCCAUUAAUUUCAAAAGCAAUAAGCAUUAACUUUUACUUUUGUUUGCAACGUGUUGAUCACAACACCAAGCUCUUGACAAGUAUUAUCUCUUUAUCUUUGUAAUAACCCCAGUAUGUAGAUAUUAUUCCCAUUCUCAUUUUACAAAUGAAGAAAAGGAAGUAUAGAGGCCGGCAUGGUGGAGCAGCAGGUUAAGAUGUUUUCGAUGCUGGCAUCCCAUAUUGGCAUGCUAAUUCAAGUCCCAGCUGCUCCACUUCCAAUCCAGCUAAUGCAUCUGGGAAAGCUACAGAAGGUAGCCCAAGUGCUUGGAUCCCUGACACUCAUAUAGGAGGCCAGGAUGGAGUUAUUGGCUUCUGGCUUCAGCCUGGCCCAGACCUGACUGUUGUGGCCAUUUGGGGAAUGAACCAGUGGAUUAGAAAUCUCUCUUCCUCUUUCUCUCUCUCAUAUCUCUCUUUAUCUGCCUCUCCCUCUCUCUCUCUGCCACUUUGCCUUUCAAAUAAAUAAAUCUUUUUCAAAAAAUGGACACAUAGAUUAAGUAAUAUAAUCAAUAUUGUUACCAUGGUAAGCAGUAAAGCCAGGACUCAAAACAGGAUCUCUUUAACUUGGAAAUACAGGUUCAUAACUAAGAGCUAUUGUUAUAUUCAUUUAUAAAGCCAUGUACUCUUGUUAGGCAUAAAGUCAUGGUUAUAUGCAUGCUUUGAUCAAUUUAAUGAUCAAAAUAACAAUCUGUUCUGGGGGAAAUUAUUCUCCCUCCAUUACUGCUUUCCUAUCCUCAUGCCUCUUUAGCAUUCCAAGUUAAUUUCCAGAUUCAGUCUCUAAUAUUCAUGUGAGGUCCCAUUAUCUUCCUGUCCAUCUUCCCUUCCUCUCAUCACACUGUUCUAUUCAGCACACAAAUUGGACAUGUUCAGUAAACAAGGAAGUCCUUGACCUGGAAUAAGAACAUUUACAGCAUCUUGCAAAAGGCCUGUCCUCAAACUCAUUUCUGCCUGCGCUUCUGGAAUAUGGACCGCUGAACUCACUGUUGCUCAGCCCAGCAGCCUAUCAACAUACAAACUUACGCCGAGGGAGGGAGGGCCACAGCAAAUGGAUGGAUGGGCCACUGGCACCAGAGGAAUUUGCUGAGUGGGAAUGGAGAAGUGAAGAGCCAUUUGUUCUUCAUAAGAGAAUGUGGCUGGGUUUUGCUUUUCUUUAUUUUUUUUAUUUUUUUUAUUUGACAGGUAGAGUUAUAGACAGUGAGAGAGAGAGACAGAGAGAAAGGUCUUCCUUCCGUUGGUUCACCCCCCAAAUGGCCGCUACUGCUGGUGCUGCGCCGAUCUGAAGCCAGGAGCCAGGUGCUUCUUCCUGGUCUCCCAUGCGGGUGCAGGGCCCAAACACUUGGGCCAUCCUCCACUGCACUCCUGAUCCACAGCAGAGGGCUGGACCGGAAGAGGAGCAACUGGGACUAGAACUGGCGCCCAUAUGGGAUGCCAGUGCACACCGCAGGCAGAGGAUUAACCAAGUGAGCCAUGGCGCCGCACCCCCCCCCCUUUUUUUUCCCCAGAGAAUGGAAUGGAAGCCAGCUAAGCCAGGGACUUCACUAGCCCUGAAGCAGCUGGGAACUUAAGAGAAGACCCAACAGGAUUCUUCAUAGGCUGGGGCUGACACAUUUGGAUGAAAGCAUUUCUGGAUUCCAUGGGCCCAUGUAGACUACUUAGGCUGGGCAUAGACCCUGCCUAUGGUUAUUUGCCUGAGUAGUAAGCAAAAGUUUUGAGAAGAAGCUUGCCAAAGGACAGAAUUUUAAAUUAAAUUUAACAUGCUGAUUAAAAAAAAAUAUUGUAUUGUUUGAAUUUAUCUUUUCAUAGUGGGCAGGCACCCCAAAUAAUCAGGAUGCAUUGUGUUCAGGAUCUAAUUCCCCAAAUGUCAGCAUCCAAUACAUUUCAAAAGUAAUUCACUUUGCAAUGUGUUUUUCCCAUUACACUCAUAUGGCAGAAAUUAUUGCAAAUAAUAGCCUAGGAUGCCGGGGUCGUCACUGCAUCAACUAAAGGAUCUGACGGGGCUGUUGACAGUCAAGGUUAUUGCUCCUGAAAAGAGGAAGAGGCUCCCACACCAUCUGAAAAAUAACCAUAGUUGAUGUCCUCUAUCAGCUGUCCCUCUGCCUUUCUCCAGCCUCAGACUUGCCCUCAAUUCCCCAAGCCUGUAUGCCGAGAGCUGUCUGAACAGACUUAUUCUUAUGCCUCCACUAUGGGCUUCUUUGCGCUUAGAAAUACCUAUGCCCCUUCUCUUCUAAAUAUUUCCUUCUAAUCCUCAAAACCAAAAUUUUUAGAUUCCUUGUAUGCCAAGUAUGACCUUUUUUUUAAGUUUCCGUACCUAUUGAAGCUUCCAUCUAUACUGUCCCAUAUUUACCUUUUUUCAUUUCAUUAUAUAAAGGGAAUACAUUUCAUAUGUACAAUUUUAAAAGCACAGUGAUACUUCCUACCCUUCCUUCUAUCCCUCACUCCUACCCUCCUGGUUCCUUCCUUUCUUAUUUUUCUUUUAAAUUUUACAGUGACUUACUUUCAAUUUACUUUAUAAUCACAAGCUUAACUCUCCACUAAAUAGAGAUUUCAAUGAGUAGUAAGUGGAAGAGUAUAGUCAAGGGCUUUAAACAACAAUCAAAUCACAAACGUCAAUUUUGCUCACAUACAUUACAUUUUUUGUACUCUGUAUAUUGGUUACCACUAAUCAGGGAAAGCAUAGGAUAUUUGUCUUUUGGGGAUUGGCAUAUUUCCCAUAUUUUCUUGCAGUUCUAAGAUGUUUCUUUGGAUUUCAUCUCAAGUUGUUUUGUGUGUGUAUCUUUUAGCCUCCAAUUAAAUUUUACAUUCUCUAGAGAGCUCAAGGGCUGUGCCUUUUAUUUCUUUAGCGUCCAGAAAUAGUACAAUGACUCACAUUAGGUAAUGAGAUAAAUGCCAUACCUGUGAUACACUCUGACCAAACUUAAAUAUUUGACAGUGAUACCAAGAACGAUUUUAUUAAACAGCCAUCAAAUCAAUUUCUUUUUUUGUUUUUAAAGAUUUAUUUUUACUUAUUU